rnacentral:rRNA from 1 species
CACGUAGGGCGCAAGCGUUGUCCGGAAUUAUUGGGCGUAAAGAGCUCGUAGGCGGUUCGGUAAGUCGGGUGUGAAACCUCCAGGCUCAACCUGGAGAGGCCACCUGAUACUGCUGUGACUCGAGUCCGGUAGGGGAGCGUGGAAUUCCUGGUGUAGCGGUGAAAUGCGCAGAUAUCAGGAGGAACACCAGCGGCGAAGGCGGCGCUCUGGGCCGGAACUGACGCUGAGGAGCGAAAGCGUGGGUAGCAAACAGG